rnacentral:lncRNA from 13 species
CCUGUUCCCUGAUUAAGAGGUGAUGACCACUCCACUCAACUAUAAUUGUCAACUCUCUGCUGACAUGAACUGAAGCCAUGUCUCAUGUGCCCUCUCAUCCACUGGCACGUUGAAUGUUUCCUCUCCAAGCACUUCAAAUAUUUUCUUGCAAUGAAGUCAAGCCUCUGAACACCUCAACUCAUGCCUCAUACCCUCAUUCAAUCACUGCUGUGAUCCCUUCCCAACACUGUGUAAGUAGCCCUCUCAUUCCCAUUCCCCAUAAUAUUGACUAUAAAUGUCUUUAUUAAAUGCUUUAGGUUAAAAAAGAUUGUCUUUGAUGAUUUUUGAAACACUUUGUUGUCUCCAUGCGUUCCACGCCUACACCGUAGGUCUCCCAUCCUCUUCAAUUUUUCAAGUCACCAGUCUCUGCUGCUCUAUAUUCAUUAGUGUCUGGAGCCAAAGUCUAAUCCGGAGCCACUAAGGGGAGCGACCUUUGCUGCUCACCAUGAGACAGGCAGCAUUUACCAGUCCAAAGGUGACAAACACAUUACAUCAGAUGGGGUGUCUGGGAAACAUGGGCUGUGUUUGUUUAUACCAGAAGGUUCCUCCUUAAUCAGCUCCAGUGUUGGGCAUUUGGGAGGGUUGGUUAGUUGGGGGGGUGGGGGGUCUGCCAUGGAGAAAGAAAACAACCCUCUCUCUUUAAUUGAAAGCAAGUUUGUAAUGAAAACAAAAUGGUAUUACUAGUGCAAGAGGAUCCAACCGGUUCCACCUCAGACACUGGCAUGUAAUUGACACAGGGACAGCCCAGCAACAAAAAAAUUACAUUUUAAAAAACAGGGAGUAGAAAAAACAGAGACAGAAUACCAGCCGUGGUAGUGUAGUGUGGCUCUGCUCUUUCCCUUCCCCCUCUCCUGGCCCUGACUGCACACAUACAGACAGCUGGCAGAGGCUUUUUAAAGACACAGUGCCUCAACUCAACUAGGACUUCAUCUGGGGACUGAGGUGAUAGUCUACACUCCCUCCACAGUAAAUAAACAUACCUCCAAAUAUGGUGUCAGGCUGCAUGAUCACAGGGCAGUGAAAAAAGGACAAAAGGGCUCCUUUUGAGAACUGUUUGUGUUUCAAGAUGGAGAGAAUGUCAGAGAAUCAUGCUGAGAUGUCAGAACGGCUGAGCGGUGAAAUGAAUAAAGAGUUCUUCCUGCGUGGUGCUGGGGGAAACACUAGCUCUGAGGGAAGCCUGAUUAGGUGUUUUUCUUCACUGACCCAAUUGGUGCUUACAAGGUCCUGAUCCCCCGGCCAACUCAGUGGCUCAGCGCUGUGACCUGGAGGAAUUCCUAUCACACCCAUUAGACACUGGGCCUCUCUCACGAUAUGCUAAACCAGACAACUUUGUAUUUCACUUAUAUGGUCAGAGAUCAUAUAACUAGUUCACAUUAGUUACUACAAGGACAACUGAUGUGCUCUGAUUAGGUUCCAAAAGGUAGAUGGACUUUUCCCUAUAACUGAGAGAACUGUUAGUUUGUUAUUUACAAUGAUCUUACAUUUAAUACCAUAGGUAAAAAAAAACAUCAUUCAAAACAGCACUGAACUGUGCAAAAACAACAACAACAGUUUUACUUAAUAAGGAUUAGCCGCUUUUUUUUCCUUCAAAUUUCCGCCUAAAAUGAAAUACCCAAAUCGAACUGCCUGUAGCUCAGGCCCUGAAGCAAGGAUAUGCAUAUUCUUGGUACCAUUUGAAAGGAAACACUUUGAAGUCGAUGGAAAUGUGAAAGGAAUGUAGUAAAAGAUAAUACAAAGAAAGAACCAACCGUUCUUUUGUAUUUUUUUGUAACAUUAUCUUUGAAAUGCAAGAGAAAGGCCAUAAUGUAAUAUUCCAGCCCAGGUGCAAUUUAGAUUUUGGCCACUAGAUGACAUCAGUGUAUGUUCAACGUUUUAGACUGAUCCAAUGAACCAUUGCAUUUAUGUUCAAAAUGUUGUGUCAAGACUACCCAAAUGUGCCUAAUUUGUUUAUUAAUAACUUUUCAUGUUCAAAAUUGUGCACUCUCCUCAAACAAUAGCAUGGUAUUCUUUCACUGUAAUAGCUACUGGAAAUUGGACAGUGCAGUUAGAUUAACAAGAAUUUAAGCUUUCUGCCAAUAUCAGAUAUGUUUACGUCCUGGGAAAUGUUCUUGAUAUUUACAACCUCAUGCUAAACGCAUUAGCCUACGUUAGCUCAACCGUUCCGUGGAAGGGACACCAAUCCAGAAUACGUUUUUUUAACAGAGUGAAAAUAUGUCGCACGCAAUGCAAUCACUGCAGUAUUCAUAACUCAUCUUGUAUGACAUGCCUAUCCCAUCUAUAAAAAAUGUUGUUGUUAUUUUGCUCACUCUGUACUAUUUUCCUCCAUGAGGAAACAGGGACCCCAAACAGUAUUUCUGAAGUGCUAGAGAAAAUCCACCCAGAUGAGAAUCUGUGGUCUAACGGUGAAUUGAACUUUGCCUUCCAAUGAAUCCAGAGCUUAACAUGAAAUUGACUCUUAUUGGUGUUUGCCAAUGCUUCAAAGGAAGUCCUUACAUGAACAUGUAUUUCCCGUCUUAUGCAACAGCAUGCCUGGAGUCACAAUGGAAGUUCAAGCCAGGACAUAGCCUACCAAGCUUUUAACAGGGAGCCAGAGGCAUCCUCUCUCUAACUUGUAGUAAGUCCACUUGGUUUCAAUAUGAAAAGUUAUGCCCUUCUGACAAUCUCAUGAAAUUAAAUAUUACAAAACAAUCCAUUUAGUAUACAUGGUAUAUUGUUCAUCCCCGACCCUGUACACUACAAUAUUGGCUGAGCGUAACCAAUAAAGUGCUUUCUAACCACCAAAGCACACAAUUGUGAAAUAUUGUGGAGCCUGUGGUAUCACAUGUGGAUGUUAUUCCCCUUAUUUCCCCAUUUUUAACACAAUCAAAUAAAUCUUCACUUUUCACAAUGACAAGAGCCUCUCAGCUUUGAAAAAAAACAUUAAACAUUAAAUUACAAGUAAAAAGACCAAUUGUCUCCAAACAAUGAAGUUCACCUGCUAUUUGAUGAGCGAGAGAGAAGUGAGUCAUCAUGCAAGUUUUGUUGCAGUAAACAUUUGUCAUGAUGUUCUGCUGCAGUUGCCUGGCAACAUUUCAGAGAGAGGGGCGAGGAGAGGAGACAGGCAGUGAGGGCUAAGAAUGGGAGGGCAGCCCACACUACUCUAAUCAAGCUGCUAAGAUGAAGCUAAUUAUUACUCUGGUAAAAUUAAAGACAAAAAAUACUCAAUAUCCUUUACUCAAACUGGGCUGUAAGCGGAAACUUCCAUAGCGAAUCAAACAACCCUUUAAAAAUAGCAUUAUCUGUCUGCAUGGCAGGCCUGAAAUUUUGUGAUUUUAGCGGCCAGGCCAUUUGGCCUUCAAGAGGUGCCAAAUCUGCCAGGGCACCAAGGCCAUUAACCAAAAUAGCCAAUUAAAUUGAUUUGAAAGCAGAAAAACGCUAGCUAUUCUGUUAAGAAACACAUAAGUGUAAGUAAAUGUACAUAAAUAAUUAGCAUACAUGUCAAGGUGUAGAUGAAGUGUAGGUGAUAGCCUAUGACUACUAGACUAUGUCAUGUCCAAACAGAUGCUGACAUGAGAAAGGUGCUUGAAAAUGUAACCAAACUUGAAUUAGACUUUUAAUUACAUAUACUGAACAAAAAUAUACACGCAACAAGCGUUGGUCCCAUGUUUCAUGAGCUGAAAUAAAGGAUCCCAGAAAUGUUCCAUAUAGACAAAAACCUUAUUUCUUUCAAAUGUUGUAAACAAAUUAGUUCACAUCCCUGUUAAUGAGCAUUUCUCCUUUGCCAAGAAAAUCCCCUUCAACCUGACAGGUGUGGUAUAACAAGAAGCUGAUUAAGCAGCAUGAUCAUUACACUGGUGUACCUUGUGCUGAGGACAAUAAAAGGCCACUCUAAAAUGUGCAGUUUUGUCACACAUCACAUGGCCACAGAUGUCUCAACUUUUGAGGGAGCGUGCAAUUGGCAUGCUGACUGCAGGAAUGUCCACCAGAGCUGUUUCCAGAUAAUUGAAUGUUAAUUUCUCUACCAUAAGCCGCCUCCAAAUUCAUUUUAGAGAAUUUGGCAGUAUAUCCAACCGGCCACACAACUGCAGACCAAGUGUAACCACGCCAGCCCAGGACCUCGACAUCCAUUUUCUUCACCUGCGGGAUCGUCUGUGACCAGCCACCCGGACAGCUGAUGAAACUGAGAAGUAUUUCUGUCUGUAAUAAAGCCCAUUUUGUGGAGGAAAAUAAAUUCUGAUUGGACUGGGCCUGGCUCCCAAG